AUUGAACGCUGGCGGAAUGCUUUACACAUGCAAGUCGAACGGCAGCACGGGGGCAACCCUGGUGGCGAGUGGCGAACGGGUGAGUAAUACAUCGGAACGUGCCCAGUCGUGGGGGAUAACGUAGCGAAAGCUACGCUAAUACCGCAUACGAUCUCUGGAUGAAGGCGGGGGACCGCAAGGCCUCGCGCGAUUGGAGCGGCCGAUGGCAGAUUAGGUAGUUGGUGGGGAAAGGCUCACCAAGCCGACGAUCUGUAGCUGGUCUGAGAGGACGACCAGCCACACUGGGACUGAGACACGGCCCAGACUCCUACGGGAGGCAGCAGUGGGGAAUUUGGACAAUGGGCGCAAGCCUGAUCCAGCCAUUCCGCGUGCAGGAUGAAGGCCCUCGGGUUGUAAACUGCUUUUGUACGGAACGAAAAGCGCUGAGUUAAUACCUUGGCGUCNUGACGGUACCGUAAGAAUAAGCACCGGCUAACUACGUGCCAGCAGCCGCC
rnacentral:rRNA from 1 species